rnacentral:sRNA from 1 species
GUAAAUAUGGUAAUAUAAUACCAGAGCGAGUUGGAUAGAUGGUGGCUAUCUGAGUAUAAGGAGGUGGUGCCUAUGAUUGGCAUGACUGAAAUCUUUAGAAAGGAGACGCCUUUAUGAUAUCUAUUGUAGAUGUGCUAAGGUUGAUGAUAGACUUCGGUACUUUUAUCGUUGUUUUUCUCGGUCUAGU